GCUUGCUCCUUGAUUCAGCGGCGGACGGGUGAGUAAUGCGCUAGUGAAUCUGCCUGGUAGUGGGGGACAACGUUUCGAAAGGAACGCUAAUACCGCAUACGUCUCUACGAGGAGAAAGCAGGGGACCUUCGGGCCUUGCGCUAUCAGAUGAGCCUAGGUCGGAUUAACUAGUUGGUGGGGUAAUGGCUCACCAAGGCGACGAUCCGUAACUGGUCUGAGAGGAUGAUCAGUCACACGGGAACUGAGACACGGUCCAGACUCCUACGGGAGGCAGCAGUGGGGAAUAUUGGACAAUGGGCGAAAGCCUGAUCCAGCCAUGCCGCGUGUGUGAAGAAGGUCUUCGGAUUGUAAAGCACUUUAAGUUGGGAGGAAGGGCAGUAAGCUAAUACCUUGCUGUUUUGACGUUACCGACAGAAUAAGCACCGGCUAACUCUGUGCCAGCAGCCGCGGUAAUACAGAGGGUGCAAGCGUUAAUCGGAAUUACUGGGCGUAAAGCGCGCGUAGGUGGUUUGUUAAGUUGGAUGUGAAAGCCCCGGGCUCAACCUGGGAACUGCAUCCAAAACUGGCAAGCUAGAGUACGGUAGAGGGUGGUGGAAUUUCCUGUGUAGCGGUGAAAUGCGUAGAUAUAGGAAGGAACACCAGUGGCGAAGGCGACCACCUGGACUGAUACUGACACUGAUGUGCGAAAGCGU
rnacentral:rRNA from 1 species